UCUCACACCUUCAUCCUUUGACCAGUAUUAGAGCUUUACGAUACUGUAGAGAGAGAAACCAAUUAAAAGAUAUAUAAAAGAAAGAGAAGAAAACCCUAUUCUUGCUCCCAUGCAAAGACUGAAAGCACAUUUCAUGUUUCAGGGACUCAUGUCCCAGACUGCCGGGAUGUUCUGACACUCUUGUGUAUAAUAUAUAAUGCCAGACCUUGGGAAUUGGAAAUGUCAGCAUUUGUCAUCUUAUUUACCUUUGCGGAGAAUCGUUUUCCCAGCCGACAUUGUCGGAGGCCAAAUAGAACACACUCCCGGCUCCUCAGAAGUAUUGCCUUAUUAAUCAUGUAUCUUAAUUUGCUAGCGUCCCCAUGUUGCUCUUUUCUGCUUAUGAGGUUAACGUGUGUUUGUGUACAGUUUGCAACACAUUGCAUUAAUAUGCCGCUGUGAUUCUGGACCGAGUUAGCGCAGCACAAUGAUUAAAACCGUCCUCAUCAGCAAGUAAUACACCAGGGGAUGCCAAAGUCAUUAAAAGCUCUAAUACUCUAUAAUUUCCUCCAGAUAAUCAAACUGAAUAAUGGAGUGGUGGUAAAUGCCUUGGGCUGUGCUCUUAUUAAUCAGCUACUGAGGGCAUGUAUGUUUGUGUGUGUUUGUGUGUGCAUGUCUGCAGCUCUUCAUGCAUGUCACAUAACAGACAGCUAAAUAGGGAAUCUUCUCUUCUCAGAUGAAUCACACACUUCUAUUCCUCACAGCUACCUUUGAUCCGGGCUGACGUCCACACUUUCCUCGAUCUUCGUUUUUUCACAAUCGCAUUUAACCUCAGCUAACCCCUGUGCUGCUUCACUUCCGCUCACAACUGGCCCAGCCUGCUCCGUUUGCCUCCUAACAUGAUCGGUGGUGGAUAACCGAGCAGUAAGCUCCAUUAGCUGGCCAUCAAAAUUUGAAACCCAUCCAAUUUCAUCUCAGAACAUUGUAUCCUAAGCUUCAAGGAUCAUUUUCUUAUUACUAUUUAAAGUCAGUUCAAGGCAUCAGAUUGAGGAGAACAAAACGACAGAGAAUUGAUUUUACUAAACUAAUUGGGUCAGAGAGGCUUAGUAAAAUGUGCUUUGUGCUUUAAAGACCCGUUUCCAAUUGAAGAUGGAGCUGUUAUCACUACACAUGACCAGUAAAAGGUCCAAGCUUUCUGCAGGCCCUACAGGGAAAUAGUCCGGUGAGAGCAUGAUACCACCAACUGAAACAGCUACUGUACAUAUCCUAUAGAAAGCUGCUAACAAUGAUCUGUUUGGGCAUGUAUUUUCCACACUAAUUGAUUGGAUUGAGGCAUUUCUACAGUAUUUACAGAUGUCUGUCUACUAAUCUAGUCUAGAAGUAACAAACACGUGAACGAACACAUCGAAACAGAUGUGCCUGAUUUUUUUAAAUCUUACAUAGGUGGAAAAAUGCAGUCCUUGAGAUUUGUUUUAUGUGGGAGUUAAAGGUCAGGUCCUGAUCAAAGAUAACUCUGAGAUUAUUUAUGGUGGUACUGGAUGCCAGGGCCAUGCCAUCUACAGAAACUAUAUAAUUAGAUCAUUCAUUUCUGAGGAGUUUUGGGCCGAGUAAAAUAACUUCAGUUUUGUCUGAGUUUAACAUCAGGAAGUUGCAGGUCAUCCAUGUUUUUAUGUCUCUAAGACAUGCUUGGAGCGAGCUCGUUGGUUUACUCCUCACAGAGAGCUCUACACAGCCUGUGAAAACAUUUGGAGGAUGUCUUUUGUGGCUCUGGAGGGGCCGAAAUCAGAAUAAAUUACGUCGAUGAUGUCAUCAGAAUUAUCUUUGAGACAAACAUUUUUAGGCAGGAAGGUUUCUGAUAAAAGAUUAGUUGCCAUAAGAGUGGAUUUUUUUGAGUUUGAUCCUUAGUAUGGCACUAAAGAUAUACCAUAUACCAACAUAACAUUUUGAUUUUUUCCAUUCUUUUUUAAUCGUUCCUCAAACUUGCAAAACUGAAAUUGCUGAAGUGCCCUUUAAAAAAAAAGCUUUUGUCCUUUCUGUCUGAAUAUGGUGAAUUGAUCACUGAAUAAAUGGGUAUUUUUAAUCAUCUGAUUUGGCUCUAGUAUCUGGUUGCCACUGGAUAACAAUGAUGCUAUUUGGCAUUUUAAGCCAAAAAAUUUAUGCUAAACCCUGUUGGUGUCAACAAACCCAGUGAUGUCAUCGAUGCUGAGAAGCUCUAUGGUUGUCUAGUCCAAGCAAAGCCUCCUAUGUAUGCGAGCCAGGCUCCUAGUGAUAGGAUUUCACUCUGUUGCACAGCCCGGACCGUUGGCGAAGUGCAGUGACAGUAGGAGUAACUAGUGUCAGGAGGAUAGUGUGAAGUGGAAAAUGUCAUUGCUAUUUUAAAAAGAGUCAAUCUAUCAAAGUCUAAAUGGCGCAAAACAGAAUAAUCAUAGCUGGGUAUUUCACCUUUCUUGUCUUUUUGGUAUAACAACUCAGGCAGAUUUUGGCAGUGAUCCGUGGGUACAUGAGAAAAGAUUGCAGUAAGGCAUUUAACCCUUGUGUUGCCUUCGGGUCAUUUUGACCCGAUUCAAUAUUUAACCCUCCUGUCGCCUUCGGGUCAAUUUGACCCGAUUCAAUGUUUAAUGUCGGUGUUCUUUCGGGAGUCAACAAACAAACAUAAAGUACCUCACACUUAAACUUGGAAAACAAUAUUAAUUCUAAUAAUUUUCUGGAGAUUUUAAUAGCUGGGGUCAUAUUGACCUCAAGGGUAAAAUAUGUUAGUAAAUAUAAAGGUAACAGGAGGGUUAAACAUUGAAUCGGGUCAUAUUGACCCGAAGGCGACAGGAGGGUGAAACAUUGAAUCGGGUCAAAUUGACCCGAAGGCAACACAAGGGUUAAGAGCCAUGCAUUCUCUCUGAUCCUCUGGGAUAGGGACACAUGUUAGCCUUAGUUACUGUGACAUCAGUGAAGUGUUGGAGUGAGAUUGUUUCAUUUCAGGUGGAGCUCAAAGGAAACUAGGUUUAUAGGUAUAAGUAGUGAGUGGAAGCCUGAAGUUCAGUUACUUCCCCCACACUCCACCUUCAAGGAUAGACCUGGUCAAACCUUUCUCUGACAUGUUUUAGCAGCUGCACAAUUUGCUGCCUCAACCCAGACACCACCUCUGUGGAAAGUGAACUUUGUGGGGCUUGCGCUACAUCUGAUAAGAUAAUCUAAUUCUUGGAACAAAUGUAAGAGGGCGGUUUGCCAGGGCCUGUCGAAGAAAAGAGAACUUGAUAGAGAACUGAGGAUGACAGGCAUUAGGAAAUUAAUUCCCAUUUUCGAAACGCUUUGUGUAUUUGGGAUGCCUUGUCAAUGCAUAAGUGGAGGAUUAUGGCCUAUAGGUCAUGGUGGUGCAGGAUUCUUUCCAAGCAGUGAGUUAUCCUUGCAGCCUCUGAAACGAAGAAGAAAUGGGCCUUAGGGAAAGAGCAAAAGAACAGCUUUUAUAUAACAAGUUUUAGCCUGGAUAGAAGUGGAAAGCAUGUAUCUACCAGUGUAGUUUAAUAAAGAAACUAGAGGAGGAUAAAUAGCAGGAUAAAGGGAUGACAAACUCUGGUCUGUCUGCAUGCUCUACAAUACAUGUAUUUAACAAUUAUGAUGUUAAAUUUUAUUUCUUACUGUAUCUGAAGAGAAAAGAAACAAUAGCAUGCUGUCACCUUUACCUCGCGAGUGUGACAAGAGCCGUCUCUCCUUCAGAUCUGAAGACAAAGGGCACAAGAUAGCAAUAUUUGCCAUCUGUUACAGAAAGGAAAAGUACAAGUCUUUUCCACACAAGCACUACCAAUCACAUCUGUGUCUUAGGAGAGAGGUGUUGCCCGGGGCAAAAGAACAGGGGAUAGAAGGAAAGAAACACGGGGCAUGAAGCAAAGACAGCAGGAGAGACGAGACAUCAAUGCAGGAGAAGUGGGUGUUGAGUAGAGGAGAAUCCCAGGGUGACCACCUACUCUGAAUACUGAUUGAACAAACUGGAAAUCGUCUGGCGACUUAACCGAGAGGAUAUAUUGAGGUCUGAAAGAAGAACAAACUAUAUUUUGUAUUCACUCUAUCACUUCUAAGGCAAGCACCAAUGGCCACAGCACAAACAAUGUGUUCAUGGACUGAAUCUUAACCAGUUACCUCAUAAACAUUGCUUGUGCAACUGCAUGGAAAUGUAGAAAGUGGAAUUCAUAAAAAACCUAAAUGGCAAACUUAGACUUUUGUAGCAUUCUGUAACUCAAAUGUAAGGAUUUACCCAUUUACACUGUAUGCUUCUUGUGCAGAUCUUAUCUUUUAAAAAAAGCUAUGUAUGAAUGCAUCCAGAUUGAAAUCGAGAAGUGCUUUGAGACUAAAUGAAGCCAGAUAUUGAAAAGGUUUAAAUACAUCUGUCUACAAGACACAUAUGUUUACUCCUCCCAUAGACUAACUAUGUCACCUAGUAGUCCAGAGACAUAGAAAAACUGCCACCACCUCCCUUUAGACUGAAGAAGGGCCUCGGAACAGCUGGAUGACAAAAAGGGGGGUUGCAUUCAGAUAUAUGAUCUGACCAACAGAGAAUCAAGCCGGCCGUCCUUUAAAAGCUGAGUGAGCGUGCUCACUAGUUGCUCUGAAGGAGUUCCAAGGUUCAGUGGCUCAUCUUGGAGAGACUGUUCAUAGAACAACUGUUAUGGGAAGGAGGAAGUCACUCGCAAAAACUCAGAUGACAUCAAUGGUGCAAUUUGCCAGAAGGCCCAUGGGAGACUCUGGAAGUUCUGUGGUCUCAUCAGACCGACUGAGCUGAAAGAAGUUUUGUUUUCCAGCAAGUAAAAGAGCCUAAAGAAGCCAACACAGUACAGAGAUGGCUUCAAAACCAUAACACCAUUGUAAAUCCCUGGCACUUUAAGUUGUUCAUCUCGUACAUGAGUGCUUUCUUUGCUGUUUUCUUUUUGCAGAUGACCAUCAGGACACACAAGUAGCCAACAUACGCCAUCGCUUUAUUCAUGCGAACAGAGGCCAGGCGUCCAUGUAAACAGCUUAACCCACUGCAAGUAACCCUAGCUGGAGUCUGGCCAACUAGUAAAUGUGAUCACUUCAGUAAACAUGAGUCAGUUGUCAAGUGUGAAAUCCAGACACAUGUGGCACACAUGACUGAACACACAGAAACCCUAAGAGCUACUGCGCCGAUGCUCCAGCCGGGCCAGUCCAGCACUGUUAUUGUGUCCGUGGCCGGGGGAAGCUCUCAGCUCGCUGGCCUGCUCCUGCUCCCAGCAGAGUGCUGCGUGUUAAGCAGAAAGCUACUGGAGGAUGAAUAAACCCAGGACUCCCUGCAGGCUGUUGCUUAUUAAAUGGUCCCUUAAAGCCCCCGACCUUUCACAUCUCUGCAGCACACGACGCGGAGCACGGCGAGAACAGAACAGAGCAAAUGGCCUGUGAAGAAUAAAAUUGUUGUCAAGAUCUGGAGUUUUCAUGUCUUGUUUUGAAGUCCCUGUCUCGUUUCCUCUAUUUCCCUGCACUUCCUUCCCUGUGAUUGUCUGUGUUGUUCCUGAUUAUUUCGUCCUGUGUGAAUAUCUAGCCCCGCCCUCAUUGUUUCCACCUGUGUCUUGUUCCCCAGUGUAUUUAGUCUGUGUCUACUGCUUGUUCGUCGUCAGAUCGUCUUUGUUUCCGUUCCGCUGCCAGACUGUGGUUCUGCUCGGCUUUAUUAAAGACCUUUGUUAAUAAAUCUAAACCUGAAUCUGA